GUUUGUCUGGCCUCUCAACAGGUACCACUCCGUUGUGGUUGUACCUACGGUACAGUUAUCUGUAUCGCUGAGGCACGCAAGCCUCCCCACCGAUGCAAGGUCCAUGGUUCAUGGGAGAAGGGUAAUGAAGUCAUGUAAAAUAAUCUGGAAGUAAUUACUAAAAAUACCAGUUUCAUAAGAUUAUGAUUAGUGAGAAGUUGUAAGUACACUUUACAGAAUUAGACAGCAGUAGCUUCUUCUGCCUCUUAAUGUGCAACUUGACUCGUUCCAUAUCCUGGAAGACUCUCCUUCAUGGCGAAAUUUAUGGAACACAAUGUGAGCAUGAAUGAGUGAGAGAGAAUGUGAGUGAGUGAGUGACUAUCCUUUCUGCUGACUUUUGGUCUUGUCUCUGCUUUUACUAAAUUUUCUGGCAUGUUCUCUACUUACAGGUAUCCACAGGGGAGAAAGAGGCAGUCACACUGUCCAGCAUAAUAGACAGCAAAGAAGAACCAAUAUUAACCUACCAGCAACCAGAAACUGAACAGAUCUGCAUUAAAGAAGAAAAUGUUGUGUGACAAAAAGAUCCUGUGACAGGCUGAAAACCUGUUACGAAAAUAUGAAAAGAAGACUUCAGAAAGAUCUUGCAGAAGAAGAGGUGGAAGUGUAUAAAACAGGCUGGGGGGAAGCCUACCCAAAAAACCAACAAAUGCAUAUGAUUCUGAUGCACAGUUUAGUAUGACUGUGGAUGUUGUUAACAUAGAGUGCAGUGCUGUGCAGUGAGAACACACCAUCUGCUUCAGUUGUCGAGUUAGCAGAGUGCACACAACCUAGCACUUCCCACACACCUGACGUAAUACACAGUAAAGAGACAUCAAAGAAUGUUCUGGUGGCUGUCACCCAGCUGCAGACUGUUUCACAGUCUCCUGAUCCACCCAAAGAAAACAUUUUCACAUCGAAAAAUACAUGGCAUCAUCGCAGGAUGCCUGCAAAACCGGGGCCAUCAGGUUCGGGAACAGUAAUUGAAAAUGUGUGCAAGAAGAGAGUGGAACUACUGGAGGCCCAAUUACACAUAAUGAAGGCUGAACAUAAGAAGGAGCUGAGGAUUAAAAAUUUAAAGAUUCUGGCCCUAAAAGAAAAACUAAAAUAUUGGAAGAAGAAAAAUGCCAGUAACAUGAUUUUUUUCCUAUGAUAGUGAAUUUUUGUAAUUUUUUCUGCUGUUUUGUAUUCUAGCUAAUGUAUCAAAGUUAUCUCACAGGUGAAACUGUUUCUGUGUUUGUCCCAUUAGUGAUGACUGCUACUAUCCUAAUUAUUGUCUGUCUAAUAUCUGCUUAUAGCUUACUUGGUCUGGACUAAUUUUCAUCUAAUCACUUGAAAUUAGAAUUACUUCAUAAAUAAAAACAGGUUAGCGAUACUGCUGUGUGUGCCAUUUUUCUAGCAAUACUCUGCACCUGGUAAUGUUUAUAAUGGAAACCUAUAACUUUUAUUACAAUACAAUUUGUAGUGAGGCAUUUUGAGAAAUACAUUGCUGUGAUGGACACUCUUUUCUGUAAAAGUAAGCAUAGCAUAUGUGGCUUUCCUAGCAUGUGUAUGGUGGAAACCCGUAACGUUCAUCACGACAGUAUUUGUAGAGAGGCAUUAUUGAGUAAUACAUUGCUAAUAUGGGCACUCUCUUCUGCAGUAGUGAGCUUAUCAUAGUGUGGCUUUUCUAGCAAUGCUCUGCACCUGUUAAUGUUUAUAAUGGUAACCUACAGCUUUUAUCACAACAAAUUUGGUAGCAAGAUAUUUUCAGUAAUGCGUUCCUAUGAUGGGGCACUCUAUUCUGUAAUAGUGAGAAUAGCAUUGUGUGGCUUUUCUUACAAUACUCUGCACCUGUUAAUGUUUAUAAUG